rnacentral:rRNA from 1 species
AACGAACGCUGGCGGCAGGCCUAACACAUGCAAGUCGAACGCCCCGCAAGGGGAGUGGCAGACGGGUGAGUAACACGUGGGAACCUUCCCUAUAGUACGGAAUAGCCCAGGGAAACUUGGAGUAAUACCGUAUACGCCCGAAAGGGGAAAGAAUUUCGCUAUAGGAUGGGCCCGCGUAGGAUUAGCUAGUUGGUGAGGUAAUGGCUCACCAAGGCGACGAUCCUUAGCUGGUUUGAGAGAACGACCGGCCACACUGGGACUGAGACACGGCCCAGACUCCUACGGGAGGCAGCAGUGGGGAAUAUUGGACAAUGGGCGCAAGCCUGACCCAGCCAUGCCGCGUGAGUGAUGAAGGCCUUAGGGUUGUAAAGCUCUUUUGGCGGGGACGAUAAUGACGGUACCCGCAGAAUAAGUCCCGGCUAACUUCGUG